CCAGUGUUCGUCUCCGGCCUGGAAGAAGGGAGGGGCUUUCUUCUUUUUCUGAUCAAGUUCAUUCCUGUUACGGUAGAACCUCGAGAAACAAACACCAAAGUUACGAACUGACCAGUCAACCACACACCUCAUUUUGACCUGGAAGUAUGCAAUCGGGCAGCAGAGACAAAACAAAACAAAAAUACUGUACAGCACAGUACUUUGUUGAAUGUAAACUACUAAAAACAGAGAAAGUUUAAUUUUUUUUUUUGACAAGGCAAGAAAACUGAAAGAGAAAUUGUGAUAUGCUUAAGAUCACACUGCAAAUCUAUGAAGAAGCUGCAAACUGAACCUAGGUCUCCUGAAUGCCUUGUCCUGUGCCUUUACCAAGGCAGCUUUAAAUGAAUGGGUAUGAAUGAGUCUUGGACUUUGAGGUGGGAGGAUUCAACCCAGCCACUGUAACCAUGGGGGAUACACUUUGCUCCAGUUUUUGUGCCAAUUUUGUGCAUUUUAGAAUUGUAAGCAAAUGUUAUUUAGUAACGGUCUAACCUUCUCUUGAGAGUAAAAUUAUAGGACAGCAGGGGGCGCAUUUACAAGUACAAUUAGGGCAUUUAUAUGGAGUGUCACCAUCAGCAGGGAUCCUAAUUUUUUCCCAUGAUUUAAAAAAAAAAUCCCAAAUUCUCUGAUUUAAAAAAAAAAACAAAACAAUCUGCGUUUUUCUGCAAUUAAAAUUAAACGCUGAACUUUAGUGUCCUUAGCCAAAAUAUAUAUAGGUAUCAAUUGAACAUGAUAUUUUAUUGAUUAUAUUUACAAUUUUUAAGCAAGUUCAAAGCCUACCAGUUCCAGCAAUCAUGAUAAUAAAAUGAUCCAUUCACAGUGCAUUGUUUCUUUGCUGUUGUCAAUGGCCCUGCUGUUCCAGCCUCUUGUUUUAGUUUAUUUUCAUUGUUUUAUGUUUAGCACAUUCCAUGUAUUCUACAAUUGUCUGCCUUUGAAUGUCAUCUAAAGCCUUGCUGCACACAGUAAGAAGAGCAGAUUAUCAUCAAUGUGAAAUUUGUCCUUGCCAGACUCAGUGACAUGGAACGUAGGGGUGAUUUUUAACGUUUUCGGCAACUUUUCAUAACUGUAAUUACGUCUGGAGGCUGAAGUGAAAUUUUAGAUGCAUUAAAACACAAACCCCUAUAUGCUGUUGAGGAACCUUUAUAUGCCGGAAGCAGUUUAUCGGAGUAUGUUUAGCUGUGGAAAUGUAAAGCACAUUAAAAAAAAUCAACCACAAGAAGAGGAGGGUGUGCACGUUGAAUAAGUGACACUGGUACUUUCAGUAAAAUUUAGUUAAUAUGAUUUACAUAUUGCAAAAAACAAAAUAAAAAAAACUAAAGAUUCUCUGUACAAACGCAGAUUCCGCGAUUUUCUGUGGCAAAUGGAUUUCUAGGAUUCCUGUUGAAACUAUCCAGCUCCAUGGGACUGAUUCGAGGAUUGUUAUUUUCAACUAAAGAUAAUUGUGAAAUUAGUUGUUUCUUCCAUGCCAUGAAUACUCUCUGGUUCUUUUGUAGCAGCCCAAUAAUCUUCCAGAACAGAAAACAAUAGUAAUAUUUUACAGGGGUAAAGCACCUGUCAUCCUGUAGGAUUGUAAGGAUUGAAAGACAUCAGCAACAUUUAGUUACUAUGUAAGGCUGUGUGUGUUCUCCCCUUGGUCUCUGUGCAAGGCUCAGAUCUGAUGUGGACUGAGGGGAGUAUGAACUGAAAACUUAGUCUGCCCCAAGGACCAUACUUAAACUUGGAACUAGGCCCUCUCCUCCAAAUGAAUUUGAUGCCCCUUCCCUAAUAUCAAACUAGUGUAGGACAGCCCAUUUUGGAAUUAAUGCCCUGUCAUCCAGAAGCCUAACCAGAAAAUAGCCAAAGUAGUUUUUGAGUAAGUUUUUAAACGAAUUUGUUCUUAGGUUGAAAAUCUGCAGCCAUACAGUUACACAGCCUUUAGCAGUUUUAAAGUGAAUUUUAAAACCCUCAAGAUAUACCCCAGUUUAAAUAUUGACAGCCCCCUAGUGCAACAGUAAUGCUGUUAAUUUCAUAAAAAGGUUCCUUUUGAGUUGUCAGUGAGCUGUUAAUGUACCAUCAAUUUUGUCACUCUCACUUGAGUCAUCUGGGAAUCUGAGUUUCAGCCCCACCUUUGAUUUUUCCUUGUUCAUUGUUUUGCUGUUUGCACAUUCAACUGCUUAUAUAUUGCAGAGACAACCUCUUGCAGAUAAAUGUUCAUGCAGAAAUUUGUCACACCUGGAAGAUCCAAAUCACAGCACAACUGUUAUUUUAAACUACAAAGGACAAGAUUUUCAGAAGUGACUAGCAGUUGUGGGUGCCUAACUUGAACACCUAACAGGGCUGAUUUUUCAGAAGGAUAGAUGAUCAGUGCCUUCUCUGAACGGAAGCAACCAAAAUCACAAGUAAUUAUAUAUUAAUGUUAGGCCCUUUUAAUACAGUGAUUACUUUCAGAUGUAUGUGCCUUUUGGAAUACAUUAUUAAAAGAAACUCAAUAAAUUGUUGCCACUGUAGAAGAAAAGUGUAGUGAAUCUUUUAGAAAAGACAUAAUAGGUUACUUAAUAUUACUCCAUAUUUGGUACUGAUUUUAAAGAAAUAAUAAAUUUGAGGGAGGUUGUUUCUUUGUGUGUUGUUUUGCCUUCUGGUGUUUGAGCCUUUAAGUUUCAUGUUUUCCAGAUUUACUUCACAGCCAUGCCUGCUAUAAACUUACCUGUUUAAAGCUGAAAGUUUCCAAGAGGGGGGACUUAUCGAAAAAAUAAA